AUAUAAGAUCUUGAACAGCACUCUGUGACAUCAUAAAUGGUGCACCAGAAACAAUAAUAGACUUUUCACGUCUGUUGAGAACCAUAGUGUUCUUUGGCCCAUUUUCUCUUAAGAAACUUACAAGGAACAUCAAAUGCAAUGAACCAACAAAAUGAAAAUAAGUUAUGGUCAAUGUAUAUUAUUUUGAUCAAACUGAGUUACUACCACAAAAUUUUAGGAACAUUUACUUCACCUACCAUUAACAGAACUAACAUUUCAUAAUGACAUUUACUUUGAAUUAUUUUCUGUUGAUAACAUUUAUCCCCAGCUGGGUGGUUACACAACAGUAUGGUGGAAUGAGCUGGGAUAGUGAUUUAAUUCAUGCCAAAAUGCUAAAGCCAACUUGUGAGUUUCAGGUGUACCACUUUUAACAUCUAGACUCAAAGACCAUUUUAUUUGAAAAGCAAAAUUUUGGAUUGGACACUGAAACAUUGUAGAACCAAAAAAGUUACAAGAACAAGGUAAUUCGACUGUGGAACUGUGAGUACCAACAGUUACAAUCAGCUUGGACAUCGCAACAAUCGACGUACACCAUCUGCAAUUAUUUCAUCUUUCCUACAUCGCCAGUUUGGUAGCAGAGCUGUGCCACAGAGUCGCACAUUCACAUUGGCACUGCCCUGGUUGGAUUCCCAUAAUUUCACUGUCAGCGGUGUGAUAUGCAAUGGGCAUGGUUGAUUAAUCUUGCCGUCAACAACAGAAUGACAAAGCCAUUGAAAUGCUGCCCAGACAAAGGAAUGAAAGGAAGCCAUCAGAAUCAGUGUCCAUUUGAUGACACUACCAAACCAAACAUGGAGAGAACAGAAAUAGAAAAAGAUGCACAUUCUGACUUUAGCCCCACAGAAGCUUAUUGACUGGUACAUACUCAUCCAAUGCUGCAGUGGCAUUCCAGUCACAAGUCAAUAUGAAAAGGGUCUUGACAGUUGCCGAUAAACAGUAAAUCUGAUGACAUAUUUUUCAGAUUUUGUUCGGGAGGCCUGUUUAAUAUACAAGAGUGAUCCUGCCCAGUUGUCAGGAUAAAAUAAGAUUGCUAGCACUUGUGAUCUUGCACAGUUGUCAGGAUAAAAUAAGAUUGCUAGCACUUCAGAAGAUAUGUCAUAAUAAAAGCUGCCCCAUUGCCAAUUCGUUGAGCAUCUAAAUAUGUGCUGGAAACUUGGAAUAAUGAUAUCUGGUGUUACCAAGAAGAUUUUAUGGCAAAAUUCCCAUGAGAAAAUGACACAUGACUUCAGGCGUCUUUGGAUCCACUCAUCUCAAGCUUAAAGAAAAUGACACUUGAAGAAGACAAACUGAUGCCACCUGAGGUAACAGAUCUGCUUUUCGAACCAUCUCACAGUGGACAAUUCAAUAGCGACUCUUCUAACAGCGAUAGUAACACAAAUGACAAGUGUGACUAUGAUUUGGAUUGAAAAAUGUACAUGAUCAAAUAAAACAUUUCAAAACAGCAAUUGUGACUUCUAAUUCAUUAUCAGUGACCUGAAGAGACC